UGUGUAGGUGGCGCGCUAAGUCGGGUGUGAAAUUUCGGAGCUUAACUCCGAAACUGCAUUCGAUACUGGCGUGCUUGAGGACUGGAGAGGAGACUGGAAUUUACGGUGUAGCAGUGAAAUGCGUAGAUAUCGUAAGGAAGACCAGUGGCGAAGGCGGGUCUCUGGACAGUUCCUGACACUGAGACACGAAGGCCAGGGAGCAAACG
rnacentral:rRNA from 1 species